rnacentral:rRNA from 1 species
UACGAAGGGGGCUAGCGUUGCUCGGAAUCACUGGGCGUAAAGCGCACGUAGGCGGCUUCAUAAGUCAGGGGUGAAAUCCUGGGGCUCAACCUCGGAACUGCCUUUGAUACUGACGGUCUUGAGUCCGGGAGAGGUGAGUGGAACUCCUAGUGUAGAGGUGAAAUUCGUAGAUAUUAGGAAGAACACCAGUGGCGAAGGCGGCUCACUGGCCCGGUACUGACGCUCAGGUGCGAAAGCGUGGGGAGCAAACAGG